GUCUAUGGCCAGGCCACCCUGAAUGUGCCUGAUCUCGUCUGAUCUCGGAAGCUAAGCAGGGUCAGGCCUGGUUGCUACUUGGAUGGGAGACUGCUAAUGCUGUAGGCA
rnacentral:rRNA from 1 species